rnacentral:misc_RNA from 1 species
CUCGAGCUCGAACAGCGGCGCUCAUGUGUGAGUGCGACGGGGAUCGAAAGACAUAGCUUUACUCACAACGAUCGCGUGCAGCUCUUGCUUGCUGCGCACCGUUUCAGCUGCAUCUUCUGCUGUAUUCUUCCUCCUCUUCGAAGGUAAGUAACGGAGCAGUUAGGUCGAACACACACACACACACACAAGACACAUCCACAAUCAAAUGCUCAACAAGCGCAUUCGGCGCGCAUCUCAACAUUCCAGUGCAGAGGCUGCCACUAUCGCAACUCCCAUAAGCCUCUGCAACGGUGGCCCAUCGACCCCAUCAUUCUAUCUGCAUACAUCUCUCUCUAUGUAUUGCGCAGUUUGGCGCUUUCGUUCUGGCUGCUCUUGAAAGGGGGAAAAAAGUAGGAAAAGAGACGCUGGAAUCUCGACCAAUCACUUUUUGAAAUAGGUCAUAUUGUGAUGGCGUCUGACUACAAGCAGCGCGAGACGGUUGGCGUCGAGGAUCUUGUUCUCCUCCCGCAGAUCAGCGAGAAGGCCAUCACUGAUGACCUUGCCGUGCGCCAUCGCGAGGAUUUGAUCUACACAAGCAUCGGCUCUGUGCUGCUCGUGGUGAACCCUUUCAAGGAUAUCCAGGGCCUGUACAAUGAUGCGCACAUGCAGUUCUACAGGCACAGUGGCCGGCUGAGCGGCGUGCGAUACGCGCUGCUUGAGGGACAGGAGCCCGGCGACGCCGCUCUUGGCGGGCCACACAUCUUCGCCUUGGCGGAGGAGACGUACCGCAGCAUGGUGUCAGAAGAAGAGAACCAGUGCGUCAUCAUCUCCGGUGAAUCGGGCGCCGGCAAGACGGAGGCAUCGAAGCACAUCAUGCAGUACAUCUCUGCCGUCUCUGGCAACACGAAAGACAUGCAGCGGGUCAAGCGCAUCAUCCUCGAGUCCAACCCUCUACUGGAGGCCUUCGGCAAUGCCAAGACGCUGCGCAACGACAACAGCUCGCGCUUUGGCAAGUUCCUCGAGAUUUACUUCGACAUCCGCGGCGGCCCGGUUGGCGGUCACCUCUCGCACUUUUUGCUCGAAAAGUCACGUGUGUCGAGUCAGCAGGCGGGGGAGUGCAACUUCCACAUCUUCUACCAGGUGUGCGCUGGCGCAGCUGCUGAGUUGCACGGUGACGGCAGCGGGCUCCAGCCCUCGAGAGUGGGCAACGGCGGCAACCGGAAGGGCGCUGCUGCUGCGUGGGACGACGACGACAACGAUGGCGGUGGUCAUGCCCCUAUUGCGUGGCGUGAGGUGUUUGAGGAGAUGCGCAUGCAUAGGGGCGGCAGUAGCAGCAACAUUGGCCAGUCGCAGUCCUUCGCCUCCUCCUCUCCGUUUUCAGCGUAUUAUCCGUGGAAGUUUCUGCGCCCGUCAUUAGGAUCUGGGCAGCACGCGGAGGAGUUCACGCCUCGCGUCGGCAUCGAUGACUUGCGCGGCUGGCGCGAGACGCUCAUCGCGAUGGAUGCGAUGGGGAUGGCGGCGCAGGAUCAGGUGUCCGUCAUCAAGGUUCUGUGCCUGGUGCUGCACCUCGGCGAGCUUGAUUUCGUGGCACCGGAGGAGGGCGGGGCGCUGGCGGCGGGGCAGAACCCAUGCACCGUUGCUAAUCCUGAGGAGCUCGCGUUUGUCGCGCAGCAGCUUGGUGUGGAUGCUUCAGCGCUGCUGAAGGCUCUGACGUGGCGAAAGCUGCAGAUGGGCGCGACAGAGGUGGUCUUCUCCCCUCUCGAUGCGCAGCAGUGCCGCAGCACUCGCGACGCCGUCGCGAAGGUUCUUUACGAGGGUGUCUUUGAGUUCAUCGUCAGCUCCGUGAACACCGCCUUCGGCGACGCUCCUCACGCUCUCAUGCUCGGCGUGCUCGACAUUUACGGCUUCGAAAUUUUUGCCAAGAACGGGUUUGAGCAGUUUUGCAUCAACUACGUGAACGAGAAGCUGCAGCAGAUCUUCAUUGAGCUGACGCUGCGAGUGGAGCAGGAGGAUUACGUGCGGGAGCACAUACCAUGGGAGGACAUCAAGUACUUUGACAACCAAGUCGUCUGCGACCUUAUCGAGAGCGACCGUCCGCCAGGCCUGUUUGCGCUCAUGGACGACGUUUGCAUCACCAUGGCAAAGGAGGAGGAGUCUGUGGCGGACCGCAAGCUGCUGGACAAGUUGGGCAUGGCAUACAGCAGCCACCCGAACUUUUUGCGCAGCGAACGCGGCUUCAUUGUCAAGCACUACGCUGGCGACGUCGAGUACAGCACGGACGGCUUCGUUGGACGCAACAAGGAUCGACUUGGCGCAGACGUGGUCGAGGUGUUGUCAAAAAGUCAGGCACAUUUCUUGCUGGAAAUUCUGACCGAGGUGCUGGCGGACGGCUUGACGUCGGCGGUGCCAUCGUCUACCAGGACCGGCGGAUCUCGUCGCGCCUGCGCCACAGCCGGCUUCAAGAUCCGCCAGCAGGCCGCCGAUCUCGUGCGCACGCUGAAGCAGUGCACGCCCCACUACGUGCGCACCAUCAAAUCGAACGACGUGAAGCGGGCCAACUUCUUCGACGAGGCGCGGGUGCUGCACCAGGUAAAGUAUCUCGGCCUCCUGGAGAACGUGCGGGUGCGGCGAGCGGGCUACAGCUACCGGCAGUACUUUGACAAGUUCCUCAAGCGCUUCAAAUACACGUGUCCGAGCACCUAUCCACGGCCCUUUCGAGGCACCGACAAGGCGGCGUGCGAGGCCAUCCUCGCCUACCUGCAGGACGAGCAAGGGGUGCUGCCACCCGACUCCUUUGCGAUUGGCACCAGCAAGGUUUUUAUUCGACAGCCGGAGCAUGUUCUGGCACUUGAGCAGAGCCGCGAAGCCGCCUUCCAUGCCCUAUCCGUCACCAUUCAACGCGCGUGGCGGCGCUACACGCAGUGCAAGCAGCUCCUCUGCCUCAAGGCGAAGCUGGACCGCACGUACACGCGGCACCGCAAGACGCGCCGUGCCGACAGUGUCUUUCGAGCCUACGAGGGCAUCUACGUAGAGACUGACACUGUAGUGGCCGUGCCGAGCCCGGCCGCAGGCGGCGGCACCAGCGCAGUGCCACGUGCGCUCUCCAACCGACUCACCGUCGCCCUCGACGCCAUCCUGCAAUUUGACCCCAUUGCCGUUGCGUGGCGCUCCUUCUGGACUCCGGGCGAGGCAGGCCAACCCCGCAAGAAGUUCUUCUUCAACGCUCUCACACGCGAGAUGGUUUGGGAGCGGCCCCGUGAGCUGGACCCUCCGCGCGUUGUCUUCUCCUGCGCCGUCGACCGCGUUGUCAACUGGGCCACCGCGAAAACCGCCAAAGAGUUCAUUUUCCUCACGACGCACGACGUGCUGUACGUGGUGCGCGAGACGCCGACGUCCACAGAAGCGUUGCCGCCGUCCUCGCAGCCGCCUAGUAGUAGCGCAAAGCAUUCCAAGCAUGCGGCCGCAGCAGUGAAGGAGAAGCAGUCGGUCGCCAUGACACUGACGCCAUGCUUCACUCUGCAGAAGCGCAUAGACCUGCGUCUUCUCACACAGGUGGCGGUCACCACGAUGGCCGACACGGUGUUGGUGGUGCGCGUGCUGCCGGUGCAGGCGCCAUACCGCCCAGUGACCGAUACAGUCAAGACGAAAGCAGGACCUUCAAAAUGCGAGACGUGCAGCCGAGCUGCCACACCGGCGCUGCGCCGCGCCAACUGCCCGAGUUGCGGCCGGCUGUGCUGCGUCCGGCACUGUCUGACGUAUGCGCGGCCGCUGCCCACUAUCACUGGGCAAGCAGCCCCGGUGCGAGUCUGUCCCGCCUGCGUGGUAGGGGAGCCUCUGGAACCGGUCGAGGACAUGGUGCUACUGACAAGUUACAGGACGGAGCUUGCCGGCACGCUCUGUGCGCGUUACCAGGAGCGCAUGGGCAACCCGCUGCCGCUCUUUGUGUCGGACAGCAUUCCGUUCUCCAAGUGGACGCCUGCGCCGUCGCCACCGAAGAUGAAGCGCACGCACCGCCUCGCCAAGCCCUCAGCAGGCCGAGGCGGCGAAGCCGGUGAGGGUCAGCCGUUGGUGAUUGGUGGAUCGUACGAGGUGACGCUGACGUGCACAGUCACCGAUGACCCGCUGGCGAACGAUACUGUGCUCAUUGGUGCCGCCCCUCCAGCCCCGAUGACGGCUGCCGCCUCCGCAGAUGGCCAUUCAGGCGCAAAGGGUAAGAGGAAAGGCAAGGAGGCCUUCGACGACGAGGUAGCAUACACCGUUCCACCUGGCACGCCGCCCGUGCUGAGGGUGGUUGCGCCGCGUGGCAUCACAGGAGAGCAGAUCCGACGCAUGGAGGCUAUUCGCGAGGAGCGGCGAAAAGCGGCUGCGGCGCGAAGGCGUCGGGAGGAGGAAGAGGAGCGGGAGCGCGAAGCACAGCGGGAGCGCGAGCGUGAGGCUGAGCACCGGCGAGUCGUGCAGGAGCGGAAGAAGGCGAAGGCAGCCGAGGCGGCUCGCAUGGAGGCAGAACGUGCCAAUCGUGAAAGGGCCGCCGCGGAGCGUCGCGAGGAGGCCGCUCGCGUGGUGGCGGAGCGCGCUCGGCGCCGGUAGAGGAACACGCAGCUCUGCUGCAAGUUGAUCUUGUGUGCUGUCUGACCUGUGCGUGUGCGCGUGCGUCUGGUGUCCUUCGUCCUUUCUGCCUCAACCCUUCUCUUCUUUAUUAUCCUGUCGCGUGCAGUAUGGCCUUAGACACACACACAUACACACACAUGAGACGAAAAACGAACACUCACUGCUCACGCUGUCCCUCCCCCCUCUGUACUUGUCGAUGCCAUUCACACACAGGCGCCCACGUAUCUAUGAUGAUGGGACGCUGCGCAGGCAUGCCGUUCACUUAGAUGACAUC